rfam:Triticum urartu cultivar G1812 contig111082, whole genome shotgun sequence.
CAUCUACUCCCUUCGUCUGAAAAUACUUAUUAUCAAAAUGAAUAAAAGGGGAUGUAUCUAGACGUAUUUUAGUUCGAGAUACAUCUCUUUAUCCAUUUUGAUGACAAGUAUUUUCGGACGAAGGGAGUAUUAU